CGCGGCAUAGCUCAACGGUAGAGCGCCGGGUUCAUAGCCCGGACGUUGCAGGUUCGACACCUGCUGCCGCAACCA
rnacentral:tRNA from 1 species